UGGUCAAUCUUGGACAAUGGGCGCACGCCUGAUCCAGCCAUUCCGCGUGCAGGACGAAGGCCUUCGGGUUGUAAACUGCUUUUGUACGGAACGAAAAGCCCUUCUCUAAUACAGAGGUGUCAUGACGGUACCGUAAGAAUAAGCACCGGCUAACUACGUGCCAGCAGCCGCGGUAAUACGUAGGGUGCAAGCGUUAAUCGGAAUUACUGGGCGUAAAGCGUGCGCAGGCAGUUUUGUAAGACAGAGGUGAAACCCCCGGGCUCAACCUGGGAACUGCCUUUGUUACUGCAAGGCUGGAGUGAGACAGAGGUGGAUGGAAUUCCGCGUGUAGCAGUGAAAUGCGUAGAUAUGCGGAGGAACACCGAUGGCGAAGGCAAGUCCCUGGGCCUGCACUGACGCUCAUGCACGAAAGCGUGGGGAGUAAACA
rnacentral:rRNA from 1 species